AACGAACGCUGGCGGCAUGCCUAACACAUGCAAGUCGAACGAGACCUUCGGGUCUAGUGGCGCACGGGUGCGUAACGCGUGGGAACCUGCCCUUAGGUUCGGAAUAACUCCCCGAAAGGGGUGCUAAUACCGGAUAAUGUCUUCGGACCAAAGAUUUAUCGCCUUUGGAUGGGCCCGCGUUGGAUUAGCUAGUUGGUAGGGUAAAAGCCUACCAAGGCGACGAUCCAUAGCUGGUCUGAGAGGAUGAUCAGCCACACUGGGACUGAGACACGGCCCAGACUCCUACGGGAGGCAGCAGUGGGGAAUAUUGGACAAUGGGCGAAAGCCUGAUCCAGCAAUGCCGCGUGAGUGAUGAAGGCCUUAGGGCUGUAAAGCUCUUUUACCCGGGAUGAUAGUGACAGUACCGGGAGAAUAAGCGCCGGCUAACUCCGUG
rnacentral:rRNA from 1 species